rnacentral:misc_RNA from 1 species
GAUGAAGAACGUAGCGAAAUGCGAUAAGUAAUGUGAAUUGCAGAAUUCAGUGAAUCAUCGAGUCUUUGAACGCACAUUGCGCCCCCUGGUAUUCCGGGGGGCAUGCCUGUCCGAGCGUCAUUGCCGCCCUCAAGCACGGCUUGUGUGUUGGGCCCCCGCCCCCCGGCUUCGGGGGGCGGGCCCGAAAGGCAGCGGCGGCACCGCGUCCGGUCCUCGAGCGUAUGGGGCUUCGUCACCCGCUCUGUAGGCCCGGCCGGCGCCCGCCGGCGACCCCAAUCAAUCUUUGCAGGUUGACCUCGGAUCAGGUAGGGAUACCCGCUGAACUUAAGCAUAUCAAUAAGCGGAGGA